rnacentral:rRNA from 1 species
CUGAACGUCCAUGCCACCCUGAACAUCCCCGAUCUCGUCUGAUCUCGGAAGGUAAGCAGGGUCAGACCUGGUUAGUAUUUGGAUGGGAGGUCACCUAGGAAUAUCAGGUGCCGUAGGAG